rnacentral:rRNA from 1 species
UGCAAGUCGAGCGAAGAGAUGGGAGCUUGCUCCCUGAUCUUAGCGGCGGACGGGAGAGUAACACGUGGGCAACCUGCCCUGCAGACUGGGAUAACUCCGGGAAACCGGAGCUAAUAUCGGAUAACACCUUCCCCCCCGUGGGGGAAGGUUGAAAGGGGGCUUCUGGCUAUGUCUUUGCGAUGGGGCCCCGGCGCAUUUUCUAUUUGGGAAGGGGAUGGGUUUUCCCGGCGACAAUAUGUAUCCGACAUGUGAGGGGGAGCGCCCACACUGGGACUGAGACACGGCCCCCACUCCUAUAGGGGGGGGCACUAUGGAAUCUUCUCCAAUGUGCAAAAGUCUGAGACAGCAACGCCCCGUGAGUGAGAAAAGGCUUCUGGUCUCAAAGCUCUGUUGUGAGGGAAAAAAACAUACCCCUCUAAUAUAGGGGGACCUUGUCGGUACCUAUCCACAAAGCCACGGCUAACUACAUGCCCCCGCCCCCGGUAAUACACAGGGGGGAAGCGUUGUCCGGAAUUAUUGUGCGUAAAGCGCGCGCACGGGGUCUUUUAAAUCUGAUAUGAAAACCCACGGCUCUCCCGCGUAGAGGCAUUGUGAACUGUGGGACUUGAGUGCGCAAAAGAAGAGAGUAAUUCUACGUGUAUCGCUGAGAUGCGUAGAUAUGUGUAGAAACACAACUGUGGAAAGCGGCGCUCUGUGCUGUGACUGAGACUGAGACGCGCAAACGUGUGGAGCACACA